GUGAAGAUCCCGGAGUGUGGGACUUUUCUCUGCAGAGUGCGGGAGUUGUAGCCGACUUUACGCGGUUCCCGCUCCAAGCCCAAGAUGCCGCGCCUACUGAGAGGAACGUACUAUAGUCAGAAGUGUGGGACAGGAAGAACGUUAAGGACCUUUGCUCUGUGCUAGGGGCCUCCAAGGUUAAAUAUGAUGUGAUUUGUGUGCUUGGGGCCAGGGGACAGUGUAAAAGUAUACGGAGGUCCAACUUUUAAGUCCAUGAGCAGUGCCUUGCUUUAUGAAAUGGAUGGAUUCUAACGAAGGUCGUAUAGUUUUAAAGCUGGCGGUGAACGCAUUAUAUUCCCCAACUCCCACCCCACCCAUUCCUUCAGUAAAUGCACCAGCAAGAUAACAGUAUAAUUAAGAGUCCUGAAAAAAAAAAAAGUCCUGAGCCAAAUCUGGGGAUAAAAUAGGAGGCCCCUAGCCUUACGACCUGGAAGGGUACCCUGUGCAUGUAAAUCAACUUAAAGAUUUUUUGCAUAUUAUAUAUGUAAAUUUGGGUUACAAGUUCCCAAGUUACCCAAAGGUUUCGACUCAUAAACAUAACUUUUAAAUCAGUACUGUGAUAUGCCAUCUCAGUUUGUAAAAACACUAAUUGAUAGUCAAGUUAUGUAUGUAUUUUCAAACACAAUUCAGAGCAGCUUUCUCAGCAAAGUUUUGCCCGUUCAGUAUCUGUUGGAGCAAUCGGAGUUAUGUGGGAAGCCGAAAACGGGCUUCAAGUACAGACAAUUCUGCAACGCCCUCUUCACCUAGCUGUAUUGUAAGCAUUCCCAGGUGAAAGCUCAGAAGUUUUUUCCGGAAGCCCGACAAGGAGCUCCUUGAAAGCAGGAACUGUGCGACCUUCUCCUGUAGCGGAAGCACCUACCCAGUGCCAAGCACACGACCUUGCUCAACUUCAGUCCAUGAAGCUGCUUGCUGUGCAUGCCAGUUUGCCAUCCAGGAACUACCAGGAGGUAGAGAUCAAUUAACACAGGUGGAGCAAUGGCUUAUGGAAUGACAAAGUUUGGGACUCACUCACUUAACUGAAGAUACCCCAGCCUAGAAGAAGGACCAGGAGAAAAGGCAAUGGCCCCAAAGGUGCAGAAAGCCCAAAGAAAGCUUCCAAGUGCUGUUCUUGCCUUCCUUUUCUUUUGAUCCUCUCUCCCCAUAGGGUGGCUUUUUUUUUUUUUUUUUGAAGCACACUUUUCCAAGUUGUUACAUUAACAAAUUUGCACUGAUUUCUUUAUCCUUGUCAUCUAAAGACCACCUUGUUGGCGGAUGGUGAACUUUUCCUUUAUGCCAGGCCUGCUGCACUGUCUAAUGUCACAAGUGUCUGCUCACAUUAGCUCCCGGAGACUGGAGAAGAUUCUGCAUAGUGCCUUUCCAGCAAGUUGACUUGACAGAAUGAGUCCCCAUGCUAGCUCAUGGCACUUAUCCGUUAGUCAGCUUUCUUCGGGGAGGAGAAUUUAGAGUGCACCAUAUUCAGUUUCCAAAUCAACUGCUGUCCCCUCAGGAAGCUGUGUGUUGCAUUAUUAAAAGAGAUGCCUUCAACUACAGCACCAUACUUAAACAUUCAUCCACAUUAAAAAAAAAAAAAAAAAAAGAAGCAGGAAUGAGGCAGGCAGCACCACAAUUCCCCACACUCUUCACUGUUAACUCUUUCUCCCCAGGUUUCAAGUCUCCCUCUCUGAACAGUCCUGUAACUUUUAUUGAUGAGCAUGAACAGUGUGAUUUUGUGACUGUUACCUUUACGUAAAGUGGGGUGUUUUUGCAUUACUUAGGCUGGCUAUACUCCCUGAGCUCCAAUAGCAAAGUUGAAUCCAAAAAUCUAGCUGCCGGAAACAGCAACAACUUUGACUUAUCUGUUACCUACCUCUCCCAGGAGUUCAAAUGAAAAGCAGGAAUUAGUUCUGAGUUGAAGAUGAACAGAUUCGAAGCUCACACUUUCAUAAUUAUAACUUCAGAUAUUUCUAAUUUUUUAAAACAACAAAAUCUGUGGCCAGUUUAUCUUUAUCAUUCCAAAAGAGAAAUCGACAAGAUUGCUGGAGCAAAGGAGGGAUCCUUUUUAAAGCUUCAUGUUGAUAUAAAUAUGAAAAUGGAUUAAACUCUGCUUCUAAUUUCCAAACUUGUGUACUUCAAUGAAUAUUAAAUGGCAGGACCCUAUCAUCAUCAUGACUUAUAUACUCACCAGAGUUUUUUUAUCAAAAAGGGACUGGAAUUGCCUGUGGAGCCUGAAAGUCUCCUGUAAUUGAGUUUAGAGUGGUAAAUCCACUAACCAGGCCAC